rnacentral:rRNA from 1 species
CGAAUGCUGACAUAAGUAACGAUAAAGCGGGUGAAAAGCCCGCUCGCCGGAAGACCAAGGGUUCCUGUCCAACGUUAAUCGGGGCAGGGUGAGUCGACCCCUAAGGCGAGGCCGAAAGGCGUAGUCGAUGGGAAACAGGUUAAUAUUCCUGUACUUGGUGUUACUGCGAAGGGGGGACGGAGAAGGCUAUGUUGGCCGGGCGACGGUUGUCCCGGUUUAAGCGUGUAGGCUGGUUUUCCAGGCAAAUCCGGAAAAUCAAGGCUGAGGCGUGAUGACGAGGCACUACGGUGCUGAAGCAACAAAUGCCCUGCUUCCAGGAAAAGCCUCUAAGCAUCAGGUAACAUCAAAUCGUACCCCAAACCGACACAGGUGGUCAGGUAGAGAAUACCAAGGCGCUUGAGAGAACUCGGGUGAAGGAACUAGGCAAAAUGGUGCCGUAACUUCGGGAGAAGGCACGCUGAUAUGUAGGUGAAGCGACUUGCUCGUGGAGCUGAAAUCAGUCGAAGAUACCAGCUGGCUGCAACUGUUUAUUAAAAACACAGCACUGUGCAAACACGAAAGUGGACGUAUACGGUGUGACGCCUGCCCGGUGCCGGAAGGUUAAUUGAUGGGGUUAGCGGUAACGCGAAGCUCUUGAUCGAAGCCCCGGUAAACGGCGGCCGUAACUAUAACGGUCCUAAGGUAGCGAAAUUCCUUGUCGGGUAAGUUCCGACCUGCACGAAUGGCGUAAUGAUGGCCAGGCUGUCUCCACCCGAGACUCAGUGAAAUUGAACUCGCUGUGAAGAUGCAGUGUACCCGCGGCAAGACGGAAAGACCCCGUGAACCUUUACUAUAGCUUGACACUGAACAUUGAGCCUUGAUGUGUAGGAUAGGUGGGAGGCUUUGAAGUGUGGACGCCAGUCUGCAUGGAGCCGGCCUUGAAAUACCACCCUUUAAUGUUUGAUGUUCUAACGUUGGCCCCUGAUCGGGGUUGCGGACAGUGUCUGGUGGGUAGUUUGACUGGGGCGGUCUCCUCCUAAAGAGUAACGGAGGAGCACGAAGGUUGGCUAAUCCUGGUCGGACAUCAGGAGGUUAGUGCAAUGGCAUAAGCCAGCUUGACUGCGAGCGUGACGGCGCGAGCAGGUGCGAAAGCAGGUCAUAGUGAUCCGGUGGUUCUGAAUGGAAGGGCCAUCGCUCAACGGAUAAAAGGUACUCCGGGGAUAACAGGCUGAUACCGCCCAAGAGUUCAUAUCGACGGCGGUGUUUGGCACCUCGAUGUCGGCUCAUCACAUCCUGGGGCUGAAGUAGGUCCCAAGGGUAUGGCUGUUCGCCAUUUAAAGUGGUACGCGAGCUGGGUUUAGAACGUCGUGAGACAGUUCGGUCCCUAUCUGCCGUGGGCGCUGGAGAACUGAGGGGGGCUGCUCCUAGUACGAGAGGACCGGAGUGGACGCAUCACUGGUGUU